rnacentral:rRNA from 1 species
GGAUUGCCCUAGUAACGGCGAGUGAAGCGGCAACAGCCCAAAUUUGAAAUCUGGCUCCGCCCGGAGUCCGAGUUGUAAUUUGGAGAGGAUGCUUCGACGGCGGCUCCGGGGGCAGUCUCCUGGAACGGAGCGCCGGAGAAGGUGAGAGCCCUGUACCACCUGGGGAUCCGCCGUCGGACGAAGCGCCUUCGACGAGUCGAGUUGUUUGGGAAUGCAGCUCUAAGCGGGAGGUAAAUUUCUUCUAAGGCUAAAUACCGGCCAGAGACCGAUAGCGCACAAGUAGAGUGAUCGAAAGAUGAAAAGCACUUUGGAAAGAGAGUCAAACAGCACGUGAAAUUGUUGAAAGGGAAGCUCUUGCUGCCAGACAUGCCACGGUCGCUCAGCCGCCCCCCGGGGCGGUGUACUCGGCCGCGGCGGGCCAGCGUCAGUUCGGGCGGUCGGAGAAAGGCCCGGGGAACGUAGCUCUCUCCGGGGAGUGUUAUAGCCCCGGGCGGCAUGCGGCCAGCCCGGUCUGAGGCCCGCGUUCGCGAGGACGCUGGCGUAAUGGUCGCAAGCGACCCGUCUUGAAACACGGACCAAGGAGUCUAACAUCUGUGCGAGUGUUCGGGUGUCAAACCCGUGCGCGUAAUGAAAGUGAACGGAGGUGGGACCCCCGUCCGGGGCGCACCAUCGACCGAUCCUGAUGUCUUCGGAUGGAUUUGAGUAGGAGCAUAGCUGUUGGGACCCGAAAGAUGGUGAACUAUGCGUGUUUAGGGUGAAGCCAGAGGAAACUCUGGUGGAGGCUCGCAGCGGUUCUGACGUGCAAAUCGAUCGUCAAAAAUGCGUAUAGGGGCGAAAGACCAAUCGAACCAUUGAUAUCGAGCUACUAGGUGGUUAAGAGGGCUCCUGGGAGCCUAGUGCCCGCGGCGGACCCCUGACUUACCGGGGGUACGAUGCCGCGGGCAGCAACGUCGCCUAACUGCAGGAAUGUCUCGUGAUACCCCCGGCUACCGCCGACCCCCCCGUCGGGGAGUAGGCACCGGCACCGCGGCGCCGGGUGUGGUCAGAACGCCGGGGGCUUAGAAACAACCCGCAGCCAGAUUCCCCGGCGAGGACCCCUGGGUCCCGCCGGCGGCAUCCAGUUCACAGGCUAUACGGUGACGGGCGGAGGUCUUGUACCCCCGGCUCAAGAUAUAGUCGAAUCCCCCUGUAGAGGGGGGUAAACCCCCGGGCCUGUGGCCCGCGGAGGCGGCGGUAGAACCAAAGAAUCUUGCUAGUAGCUGGUUCCCGCCGAAGUUUCCCUCAGGAUAGCAGUAACGUCCGCAGUUUUAUGAGGUAAAGCGAAUGAUUAGAGGCCUUGGGGUUGAAACAACCUUAACCUAUUCUCAAACUUUAAAUAUGUAAGAAGCCCUUGUUGCUUAAUUGAACGUGGGCCGUCGAAUGCACCGUUACUAGUGGGCCAUUUUUGGUAAGCAGAACUGGCGAUGCGGGAUGAACCGAACGCGAGGUUAAGGUGCCGGACUGCACGCUCAUCAGACACCACAAAAGGUGUUAGUUCAUCCAGACAGCCGGACGGUGGCCAUGGAAGUUGGAAUCCGCUAAGGAGUGUGUAACAACUCACCGGCCGAAUGAACUAGCCCUGAAAAUGGAUGGCGCUUAAGCGUGCGACCCAUACCUCGCCGCCGGGGCAGGACCGACGCCCCGGCGAGUAGGCGGGCGCGGGGGCCUGUGACGAAGCCUUGGGGGUGACCCCGGGUCGAACGGCCCCCGGUGC